rnacentral:rRNA from 1 species
GCGAGUGAAGCGGCAAAAGCUCAAAUUUGAAAUCUAGCACUUUCAGUGUUCGAGUUGUAAUUUGAAGAAGGUAACUUUGGAAUUGGCUCUUGUCUAUGUUCCUUGGAACAGGACGUCACAGAGGGUGAGAAUCCCGUGCGAUGAGAUGUCCAAUUCUAUGUAAAGUGCUUUCGAAGAGUCGAGUUGUUUGGGAAUGCAGCUCUAAGUGGGUGGUAAAUUCCAUCUAAAGCUAAAUAUUGGCGAGAGACCGAUAGCGAACAAGUACAGUGAUGGAAAGAUGAAAAGAACUUUGAAAAGAGAGUGAAAAAGUACGUGAAAUUGUUGAAAGGGAAGGGCUUGAGAUCAGACUUGGUAUUUUGUGUUCCUUAUUCUUUUUGGAUUUGGUUCCUCACAGCUUACCGGGCCAGCAUCGGUUUGGAUGGCAGGAUAAUGACAUUGGAAUGUAGCUUUGCUUCGGUGAAGUGUUAUAGACUUUGUUGAUACUGCCUAUCUAGACCGAGGACUGCGUCUUUGACUAGGAUGCUGGCGUAAUGAUCUUAAGCCGCCC